ACAACAAUGUGUUUUGAGAAGUAUAGACUAUUAUAUAUCGUUGGAAAGCUCUGGAAGUUAGCUUUCCAAAGCUACUAGAAUCACGUCCAUUGAAUCUCUAUAGCUCGAGUUAUUUAGGUUUGAGUGCAGAGAGGUCAGGGUUGACAGCAUCAUUCACCUUCUUCUUUUUUCUGCGAAAACUCUAUCAAAUCCAGCCAAAUGCUACCUAAAAUAAACAGAAUUGCACAAGACUCAAAGUAGCAUCUAUAGUGGCUAAAAGA